rnacentral:rRNA from 1 species
GAUGAACGCUGGCGGCGUGCCUAAUACAUGCAAGUCGAGCGACGCGGGGGCGGGUGAGUGACACGUGGAUAACCUCCUAUAAGGCUGGGAUAACUUCCGGAAACCGGACCUAAACCCGCUUCUUAUCCAUGGUUCCGCGGGGCAUUAGCUAGUUGGUUAGGUAACGGCUUACCAAGGCAACGAUGCAUAGCCGACCUGAGAGGGGGAUCGGCCACACUGGAACUGAGACACGGGCCAGACUCCUACGGGAGGCAGCAGUAGGGAAUCUUCCGCAAUGGGCGAAAGCCUGACGGAGCAACGCCGCGUGAGUGAAGAAGGGUUUCGGAUCGUAAAACUCUGUUGUUAGAGAAGCGGUAUCUAACCAGAAAGCCACGGCUAACUACGUGCCAGCCGCCGCGGUAAUUC